AUUGAACGCUAGCGGGAUGCUUUACACAUGCAAGUCGAACGAGUGGCGGAGGGGUGAGUAAUAUAUUGGAACGUGCCCAGUAGAGGGGGAUAACUAGUCGAAAGAGUGGCAAAUACCGCAUACUAUGGGAGCGGCCGAUAGCGGAGUAGCUAGUGGGUGGGGUAAAGGCUAACCAAGGCAACGAUCCGUAGCGGGUUUGAGAGGGCGACCAGCCACACUGGGACUGAGACACGGCCCAGACUCCUACGGGAGGCAGCAGUGGGGAAUUUUGGACAAUGGGCGAAACCCUGAUCCAGCCAUCCCGCGUGUAUGAGAAGGCCUUCGGGUUGUAAAGUACUUUUGGCAGAGAAGCGGUAUCUACCGAAUAAGCACCGGCUAACUACGUGCCAGCAGCCGCGGUAAUAC
rnacentral:rRNA from 1 species